rnacentral:lncRNA from 1 species
UCUGAUUACCAACUUGUAACGCCCUCAAUGCGGCUAUAUCUCCCACGUGUCGAAGCACGACUUAGAGGCAUAACCGCAUUGAAAGCAAUGUCGCAAGUGAGGUAAUCUUCACACAACCCAUGUAAUACAUAAGGGAAAGAGAUACAUAGAUGGCUUACAAUCGCCACUUCACAUAAUUACAUGAAUAAAGCAUUACAUCAACCAGAUGCAAUCAAGGUCCGACUACGGAACCCAAAAUAAAAGAAGACUACCCCAAAUGCUACACAGAUCCCCGAUCGUCCCGACUGGGCUCCACUACUGAUCAACUAGAACGAAACAACACAAAGGGCAAGAUCUCCAUUGAGCUCCUCCUUGAGCUUGGUUGUGUCAUCUGCACGGUUCAACGGCACCUGCAAACUGGGUUUGGAAGUAAUCUGUGAGUCACGGGGACUCAGCAAUCUCACACCCUCGCGAUCAAAACUAUUUAAGCUUAUAGGAAGGGUAAAAGGUAUGAGGUGGAGCUGCAGCAAGCGACAAGCAUAUUUGGUGACUAACAUACGCAAAUGAGAGCGAGAAGAGAAUGUAAGGCACGUUCGAGAAACUAUGAUCAAGAAGUGAUCCUAGAAUAACCUACGUCAAGCAUAACUCCAACACCGUGUUCACCUCCCGGACUCCGCCGAGAAGAGACCAUCACGGUAACACACGCGGUUGAUGUAUUUUAAUUAAGAUAAACUUCAGGUUUUCUACAACUGGACAUUAACAAAUUCUCAUCUGCCCAUAACCGAGGGCACGGCUUUCGAAAGUUCAAAACUCUGCAGGGGUGUCCCAACUUAGCCCAUCACAAGCUCUCACGGUCAACGAAGGAUAUUCCUUCUCCCAAGACAAUCCGAUCAGACUCGGCAUCCCGGUUACAAGACAUCCUAGACAAUGGUAAAACAAGUCCAGCAAGACCACCCGCUGUGCCGACAAAUCCCGAUAGGAGCUGCACAUAUAUCUCGUUCUCAGGGCACACCGGAUAAGCUAAGCGUACGGGAGCCAACGUAACCCAAGUUGCCAAGGGACGGCCCCGCACGGUGCUCUGGGUUGGACCAACACUUAGACAAGCACUGUCCCGGGGGUUUAAAAUAAAGAUGACCCUCGGGAUGCGCGACUCCCAAGGGAAAAAGGCUAGGUGGCGAAUGGUAAAACCAAGGUUGGGCCUUGCUGGAGGAGUUUUAUUCAAAGCGAACUGUCAAGGGGUUCCCAUUAUAACCCAACCGCGUAAGGAACGCAAAAUCCGGGAACAUAACACCGAUAUGACGGAAACUAGGGCGGGAAGAGUGGAACAAAACACCAGGCAUAAGGCCGAGCCUUCCACCCUUUACCAAGUAUAUAGAUGCAUUAAUUAAAUAAGAGAUAUUGUGAUAUCCCAACAAAAUAACCAUGUUCCAACAUGGAACAAACUACAAUCUUCACCUGCAACUAACAACGCUAUAAGAGGGGCUGAGCAAAGCGGUAAGAUAGCCAAACAACAGUUUGCUAGGAUAAGGUGGGUUAGAGGCUUGGCUUAACAAUAUGGGAGGCAUGAAAAGCAAGUGGUAGGUAUCGCAGCAUAGGCAUAGCAAAAGAGCGAGCAACUAGCAAGCAAAGAUAGAAGUGAUUUUGAGGGUAUGGUCAUCUUGCGUGAAAUCCCGUAAGGAAGAAGAACGAGUCCAUGAAGAAGACAAACAGACGUAGUCGAACGGGUCCUCACAAUACGAAGUUAUCGGAACCAACCCAAAGAAGCAACACCGGAAAGAAGCACACAAUAUAGUAAACAACCAUCACAUAAUCAUGGCAUGAUGCACAAUCAAGUAUGAUGCAUGUCUGGUUUAAAGAGGCAUGGCAUGGCAAAAUGCACAAGCAAUCCUACAAAUUAAGUGGAGCUCAAUAUGCAACAGGAUGCAUGUUGACGGAACACCACAUACGGGUUACUUAGUUCGAUCUCGUUUAUGUACCCAACAAGAUUAAAUGUUGUUAGCAUGGCAAGAGGGUGAAGUAAAGUAAAACUACCUAUCUAGUCAAGUUUAAAUGAGGCCGGAAGCAACGAACAACAAUUCCGGUAAAUCCCCAUAUGCAUAUAUUAGGUUUGGUGUUGUUCUACCCUAAACCAAAUUUUAUAGUUGUUAAACAUGCAAAGUGAUGCCACCAUGUUAAAUUAGGCAAAAUUCUACCCCAUUUACAUAUAAAGUUUAUUAGAAACCGAGCUACGAUUAUUUAGUUAUGAGUUAAAUCAUUUUAGCAUGGCAAUAGGCAAAUAUAAGCAAACAUCAUUUUAAGCAUUUCAAACGUGCAAGAAAGUUGGAUAUUAUUAUCCCACACAAAAUUCUAAGCAUUUUUCAUAUUUAAAGUUUUAACAUAUGAUGCACCGUUUGUGAGUAAUGAAAUGCAUGAAGUUUAGGGGCUGAUCUGCAAAAGUGCAACUCCCUGGAAAUUGAUAAAAUCGCAGCUAAGGAAAAAAAACACAUCGGGCCGAAUCUUCACAAACAGGGCCAACAGAGAGGAGGGGUUGCAGGGACUGCUCACAUCGGGCUUUGGGUGACCUGGCGAUGCUGGGCCUAGAGCCCACUCGCGGUCGCUCGCAGACGAGCCACAGUCAACGUGCGUGGUCAGCGUUCGUCUUCCUUCGUCGAGCAGGACACAUGCGAGGCAGGGGUCACGGGAGCAGGGACUUGGCGCGACGGGGAGGCCGGCGAGCGCGGAUCCGGCGAGGACGCGGCUUGGGGCGAGGCACUGCAAGGCACUCCGGUGAGGAGCGGGCAGACGGUGGAGAUGCGGUUCCAUGGCGGCGAUGUCGACGGCGAGGUCCUGGUCGAGGUCCAGCGAGAGCCCGUCAGAGCUCCGGUUGGUGGCGAGGAACGCAAGGCGAAGGGGAGGUUCCCGGUGGCUGCACGCUGGUUUUUGGCGAGGACAUGGACGAGGGAUGGAGGCGGUAAACGGAAGGGUUCGAGCCGCUCGUGCGCGAUCGACCCAGGACGAACACGAACGGGAACACGUCGACGACGACCCAACUUGCAGCAGCACGCGCGAGCUUGGCACAGGGCGAAGUGGUGAAGGGCCAGCGGAUCCUCUUACAGCUCCAUCUUUCCUGUACCCGAACAGAGAGAUGAAAGGUUAGAGAAGAGGGAGCAGCAGGGGAAGGAGAUAAACAACAAGGGCAGUGCGAGGCACUCAUCUUCUCGUCGGCGACUUGCCGGCGCGGCAAGGCAGAGUGGAUCUGAGAGGAGGAGGUUGUAGGCGGCCGGCGGCUGGGCCUACUAGAGCUCGCCGGAGCGACGGCUGGAUCAGGCACAUGCGUGAUGGUGGAGCUCCAGCUCGGGGAUGGGCGCGUGUGCAGGGGAGCCCUAGCUCACGUGGGAUUUGAGCGGCGGCGGUGGUGGAUGGCGAGGAACUCGAGGGAGGUUGCUGGUUGGCUCGAUGAGGAAAACUGAGGAGGAGUUGCGGCGGCUGUGGUUGGCGGAUCGGGAGGGGAUCCCAAGGAGGAUGAGACAGCGGCGAUGGGACAAGCCCCGAGAAACAAGGGACAGUGGGUGGCGGCGGCUGGGAGGAUUAGAUGGAUGGAGGGGACAGCUAGGGUUACAUCUAUGUAUAAAUAGCAGGUGGGUUAAAAUUAGGGGCUAUCCGGUACCUCUGAUCGAAAACGGACGGUCGUGAAUAAAUAGCUAGGGAGUCCAAAUAAGAAAGCGGUGACGUUUUGUAGUUGUUUGGAGAUGAUCCGGACACAACGGUGGCGACAGUCGGGGUCGGGUCCGGGACAACUUUUCGGACGCGCGCGCGAGGGGGUUUGGUGCAGUGAGCAGAGAGGGUUUCGGACCAUGCAGGCGCAUCGGACAACUCCGGAAGCGAAGAGGAGAAGGAUGAUGGACUAGGUGGGCUGUGGCGAGACUGCGAGGGGGAGAAGAGAGAGAGAGAGGGCCCGACAUCUGUUUCCGGAGACCGAAAACGUCCAACGUUAGACCGGCUAUACUGCCGCUAUAGUUAUCCGUUGGGGCGUCAAACGAACUCCGAAAGCGAUGAAAUUUGACAGGCGGUCUAUCUACACUAUAAUAAGACCACACGCCAACUUUCAACCCAAUCCAAGAACAUUUUUCGGUCACUUAUAAAAUACUAUUUCAGACACUCCGCGGGCGCGUGCAAGUGUGGACGGGCUCAGAACGGACAACGGACGAAACGAGGAGACCGGGACGGAUGCAAGUUUCAAAAACAUGAUGAUGCAAUGCACAUGAUGACAUGAUGAAAUGCAACACGCAAGCAAAUGACAUGACAACGCCGGCGAAUAACUGGAAGACACCAGUCGCAACGGUCUCGGAGCGUUACAUAAAGCUUUCUAGAUCAUCUUUUUUUUGUCAACCACCACACAUGUUCAUUCUAGAAAAUUUAGUUUUCCUAAAUACAAUUUUUCGGUUUUUACAGUUCCUGAGAGUACAUGAGCUCGAGUUCCGUUUCGAUUUUCAGUUGAAGAGUACUUGCGUUACUUCUAAAAUGGUACUCCAAGCAUGUUAGGGAUCUCCAAAGCGGGCCCUCAACCAUCCACUAUAUGUCUGGACCACGGUGUUUGGACCUCUUUUAACAUUCAACGGGCAUCUGUAUAUGUCCGCUUAGCAAUCCGGACCCACGGAUUCCGGUGUCCAAGAGACAAACAUGUGUGUGUGUGGGGGGGGGGGGCUUUGCCGGAGUCCAGACAUGCAAUUGACCAAUCACAUGCAUGAUCACUCUCUUCUCUCUCUCCUCACAACCGCACAUGCAUACUCUCAUCUCAUCUCUCUACUCCCAACUGGACACUAAAGCACAAAUAUCCCACCAUAUGCAUGGUCCCCACCUACAUUUUCUCCUGGCAACCGGAUACUUUGUGAUUAGCAUUGGAUGGCUUCCUCCCACAUCAUGUCCGGACAUAAAAACAUGCAUAUACUGAAGACAUUUGUAGGUCAGCUUUGAAGAUGCCCUUAGAAUUUUGAUGAUGUGGAAGGAGAACAUAAGAAGAGUGAAGAAAAUUGCUUCUUGACGACGACGACAACAACAACAAGACCUUAGUUUAUUGAUAAUACCUGGGAGAGAAGAAGGCCUGAAUAUGUUGUUAUAUGCCACAGUUAUUUCUCAAAAUAGGGUCCAACAAAAUCUACUUAAGGGUUGAAUUUUUUUAGCACUACUCAAUGAAAUCCUAUAUAGCUAAAUAAUUGAUUCGCCUAUCUCAAUUCUCCCAGCAUGUGCACAUGCCACCUCACUAUUCUAGUAAUUAUUUCUGUUCAUCUUCAUGAGGAGGUUAUGGAUCAUCUGACUUAGCAAUCCGUGCCAUACCUUGCCUUUGAGUCACUGACAGGUGGGCUCCAUGCUCCAUGGGAUCCAUGUGUCAGUGACUCAAAGAUAGGCUAAACCAUGGCAGGGGAUCCUCGUCCGCAUGGGGAAUGGUAUAUAUAUAUUCUCUUUCAACAUGCACACAUUCCAACUCACCACACAUGCCACCUCACCAAUCACACUAAUUAUAUAUCUCUUAAAAUGCAUGAAAAAUGCUAUUCAUGUUCUGUAUACAAUUAUAGUUAUAUAAUAAUCAGAUACAUUAUAUUAUAUCUAUUUUAAUUUUUUUAUUUAAAUUUCAUCAAAACUAUUGCAUCCCGUCCAGCAGCAAUGCGCGGGGUAUUAUAGUUAAUCUGUUUUUUUAAAGGAGGAUGACCCCUGGCCUCUACAUCUGGGAGAUGCAUGCGGCUGUUUUAUUAAUUAUUCUCGAGGACCUUAUAAAGUAGGACAACAAUAUGCCUAAAUCCGUCAUCUUGCCAAUAUCCGCCGCUACUCCUAUCCAAAUGAUGAAGGGAUGCAAGCUGGGCCACAUACGCAGACCUCUCAUCUAAGCCUAACAUCUAAAAACGGAGGCCCCAACCGAGCCAUCUGCCAGGUCCGGUGCUCAAACCGGUCCGACGCACUCACAUGUGUCGUCGCCGCCAUCUUCCGUUGGUCCAUCUUCGGAGUAGAUUGAGGUGACAACCCUGGCAGGUCCUCCGCCAUCGAUACCACCACAACGCCAAACGACGACCUCCACCUACGCUAGCCUUGGCAGGUCCUCCGUCAUUGACGCCACCACGACGUCAGUCGACGACCUCCACCUACGCGAGCCCAUCUCCAAGCAACGGACGUAAAUCCAUGCUAGGAUAGGGCCGCACCACCGCCAUCGCCCACCACCCACAAGCGCCACCCAACCCAAGGUUCCCAAAGCGGCGCCUUCAAGAAGGAAACGGCGUCGUGAGCGCCGCGCCGCUCAACAAAGUUAGGGCUUUCGCCCGGGAAACCUAGGGGAAAGUGAAGUGAGGAGAUCAGUUCAUACCGACGCCUCCAAGAAAGGGAACGGCGCCCUCAGGCAUCGCCGUCGGUGCGGCUGGUCAGGGAUUUCGCCCGAACUAGAUCUCCGCCACCACCAACGCCUCCUAUACAGAAUCGACGACUAAGAGGAAGCGCGGCCCGAGCAGGCUGGCCUGCACGCCGAACAGGGGAGGAGAAGAGGCGCCAGAUCGCCUCUGUUGGGGAUGACGUAAAACUAUUGUCUAAAAAACAGGACUAGUAGGCUAGUAAGCUCUCUGGAAGAAGAAUACUACUAUACUAGCAGUAACUUUUGCCCGCAACAGGACUUCUCCAUUUAAUUUGUUUAGAUUGGAUCAGAGGGGGGCCGCUUUGUUUAUUGCCACUGGUUCGUUGAUAUGUCAUCAACAUUUGACACUUCCCAUCCAACCGUGCAGCAUAGAUGCUAAUCAACACGUACCGUCUGAAAAAAGCCUCUGCCACGAGGUACAUGCCGAGCCGUGCGCGUGAGCGCGACCCGCGCAAACCCCAAAUCCCAUCCACCAAUAUCGCACGACAACGACAUGCUCCCCAAAGAUCGGGUCCAGUGAACGACGCAACCCUUCCAACCGCGAACGCUUCCCCUCCGUUCACUGCUUGCUUUUUUCCUUUUUUUUUUUGAUUGACGGAUUCCCUUCACUACUUGCUUGCUGAGAGAGAGAGAGAGAGUAGCGCCUUUUCGCGAGUCCAUCUCACGUGGAGAGAAAAGAAAACGGCCUCUGGAUUUUAGGGCCGGGCCUGGGUGGGCCGACAGGGCCGGGCCUGAGAUGGCCAGGACUAGUCCCGGCUGCCUUUUACGGACCCGAACGGUGAGCGAGCGGUGAAAGAAAGAGACGGCCGCAGAAGGAGCAAACGCACGGCAGAAAGAAACGGUCGCGCGCGGCCGCCAGCCCACUCCACACUGCGCCCAGCCCGUUCACGGCUGAGUGCGUCGCCGUCACGCUGCCCCUUUUACGUGGUCGUCGGGCGACGGCAACCUCAACUCCCCGGUCAAAAGCGCAUGCACCGUUGCACCACUAGUCCGGCCGUUUCCACCCCAACCACUUGCCCCCGCAGACCCAGCCCGGAGAGGAGGGGCCACGUUUAUGUCAACUUCCCACCGCACCCGCAGCGCACCGCAGAAGCCACCGCGAAAUCCACGAGGCCCCCGUUUCCCAGCUGCCUCCUCGCCCAAGCCUCGCCCAGUAUAUAACCUCCGCGGCCAUUCCUCCGUCUCUUCCGUGCCACCCGAAGCGCACGACGCAGCGCGCAUCCCCCAUAGCCACUGCUCCUCCUAGCUUGCUUCUUCCCCGGCGACAGAGGAGGAAUAUAUCGAUCGAUCGAGAUGUCGAAGUACGUGGAGCUGCUGGACAUGGGCGUGCGCAUCGCCGCCAGGUUCCACUCCCACUGCCCGCAGACGGCGCGCAUGUACUACAAGCCGCCGCAGUCCGCCUCCACGUCGGGCGCCGCCGAGGCCGCGCCGACGGAUCGGACGAAGGCGGCCGGCUUUGGCGGCGGCGAGGACGUGGCUGCUGGCUUCCGGCCCUUCGCCGCGUCGGGAGCUCUCGGCGCCGGCGUCGUCCAGCCGCGGUUCGGCUUCGACACCGCGCAGGUCCUCAUCUACGAGGUCGUAUGAGUCGAGGGAUUGAAAUGAACAACGGCGAGGACUUCUAAAAGGAGAGAGAUCUCUUUGAUGAGAUUUUUUUGGCGGCCAAUGAGUUGAUUGAUCAUUCUUUUGUUAGUUUGUGACCGUGCUGGAAUUGAUCAAAUACAGAAUUUUCGUUCCUGAUUACUACUUAUAUUAAUUUGUGCAUUUGUCAUAUCUAACAUAUAAAGACUGCUAGAGUACCCGCCUAACCAGGGCACCUGAGAGCGCUAGCGAUUCUAGAUCGAGCGAUCGUUUCACCAUCGUACUGUUUUUACCGCUGGCAGUCGUUGGGCCGUUCGUUCUGGUUGCACAUAGCCAAUUCCAUUAGGAGUCAAUGACACGUGGGACUCAUUGAGUGUAGGCCCAAGCAAUGAAGUGAGUUUGUCUCCUGUUCUGGGUACGAGAAAACCCGACGUGCGGAGUGCGCGGUGAAAACCCUAGCCUCCAAUCCCCUUCCUCCCUCGAGCCCCGCGCCUCCACCCACUCGCCUCUUUUCUCAUCCACCGCCUUGCACGUCCUCCUCCCCUUCACUUCUCAAGCCGCGCCGCCAACCAUCUGCGCCCCACGACGACGGCGACUUUGCUGCCACCCCGGCGGCCGUGGGGCGCAGCUGGCCUUCAUGGGCCGCAUCAUCGCCACGCUCGACCGCAGCUACCGCUAGGGCCGCUCCCACGCGCUGCUCGAGUCGCCCGCCGGCACCGACAGGUCGCUCUCCCUCCUUUGCGUCGCGCUGGCCUGGCAGCGCCACUGCCCAGCUCGGUACGCCCCAGCCGCCAACCCCCCUCCUCCACGACGACGCCUUCAUCCCUGGCAACACCCGGCAGCAGCCCACUACUGGUACUACUACUUUCCCUCUUCUCUUUCCCCCAUCUCUCUCACCGGUUCUUGGAUUGAGGAGGCGCUGCUGCUCGUUCUGGCUUAGUUUGCUCAUUCCCAUGGGUGUCCCGGUUCUUGAUGUUCAGACAUCCCGGAGAAGGCGGCGGCUGCCAAGAAGAAGAAUGCGCCGACCAUCUACUACAUCACGUAAGAUUUGCUCUCAAAUGAACUGAAAUGAUGGGGCAAUCUUGCCAGCAAGGUUUCUUGGCUGCUUGUCUUGAAUCGAUUAGAUGAAUCCUGAUUGAUUUCAUUUCCCUUCAAAAAAUCCUGAUUAGUUUCUUGGUUCCAUUGUCUAUCGGUUGCCGGAGGACGCACUGUCAGAUAACCCAGGUGGUCAUGGAGCUGUGCAAGACGAUGGCCAUCUUGGUAGCUAACAUGUUCUCAUCUCAGUGCACCUCCUGCCUCUUUUUUUCUCAUUCAGAAAAGGAAAUGAAUUAUUCAACCAAUGUUAAGUAGAAAUGGCAAAACUGACGCCAAGCCAUGUAUUUAAUCAUCAUGUAGUAGUGGGUGUUGNNNNNNNNNNNNNNNNNNNNNNNNNNNNNNNNNNNNNNNNNNNNNNNNNNNNNNNNNNNNNNNNNNNNNNNNNNNNNNNNNNNNNNNNNNNNNNNNNNNNNNNNNNNNNNNNNNNNNNNNNNNNNNNNNNNNNNNNNNNNNNNNNNNNNNNNNNNNNNNNNNNNNNNNNNNNNNNNNNNNNNNNNNNNNNNNNNNNNNNNNNNNNNNNNNNNNNNNNNNNNNNNNNNNNNNNNNNNNNNNNNNNGGGGGGGGAGGCUCCAAUAUUCCGAAUUUAAAAUGCAUGUAGUUUAACCAGUCAGUAAUCAUGCAAUGCAGGCCUCAAGGAAGCACUAUUGCAUCAAUAAGACCGUAUGCAUGGCUGAGCCAAUUGACGAGGAAUUGUGACAUACAAGACACAUAUAUUUACUAAUCAUUUGGGUUCUUCAUUGUAAACCAUUUAGUGAGACCUUUUCUCCAUCAGCAAGAAGCUUCUAGAUGACAAAGUUCAAGGAUGCCCAGAAUUCAAGUGAGUUUUCCUAGCUUCUUUCACGCGAAAACAUAUUUAACCUUGAGCAAAUUUCCCCCUUUCCCUACUAAUAAUGCGAGGAGAAACAUGUAUUGGCGGGAAUGUACAGAAACUGAGUCAUCGUCCAUCCCUUCGGACCGAUGGCUGCUAUGAAGUUCCUGAUAUUGAGGAUCUUCCUAGGGUCGGAACACAAGUCAAAGGUUUGUCUAUCUCUUUGUUUACAUAGAUUUUCCAUGAAUCCUGAGGCACACACUAUGCCACCACUGAAUUCUGAAAUCUAUUCUAAUGCCACCUUUCUUUUUAGUUAUUUACAGGAUGUCCAUAUUUUGCUGCACAGACCAUGCAUGGCAAAAGCAGCACAAUUGAUUUUCUGCCCAUAUAGCAACCUAAUUAGUCCAAUUGUCAGGAGAGCAAUGGACAUUGAUAUCAUUGGCUCAAUUGUUAUUCUUGAUGAAGCGCAGUAAGCCCCUGAGUCUGCAGACUCAUGAUUCUUUUUCAGUGUCAUUCAAUGGUUUCCUUAGUUGCAAGACAACGGCUCCCUAUGUUACCGAUCCGGUGUUGCUGUGCGUGAGGACAGACAUGGGGAAGGUGCAACAAGGCAGCGCUCAAGUUGCAGUGGAGUGGAGUCGACCAUCACUACUGACCGCUGCUCGGCGAUCCUCGCCCCUCACCCCCCAUCUAGGUUGCACAUCUUUGGCCUUGCCAUCUUCUUCCUCCCAGUUUUUCCUCUUGAUUUCAUAGGUUCUUUGAAAACCUGAUUUUGAUUUCUUAAUUUAUGUUUUUCUUAACAAGAUGUGGUUAGGAACUAAAUCGACAAGCAUCGAUAUUUUUGUUAGGAAGGUAACACAUCUUCCUAUACUAUAUGUUAGUGUGAUUCUGUUGCUUUCUAAACCCAAUUUAUGUUGCUUCAUCUCACGGACGAGGGGUCGGCUACAGGAGCGCUAGGAGCCUAGGAGUGGAACACGAUUUCCUCGAAUCUAGCCGAGGUGCUCCUCUCUCUUUGCUUUUACUUCCUCCAUUCACAUUUACUUAUAUGGCUCUGUUCUGUUUGUGAUGUUCCCUGCUUGGUUUGGCUUCCCUUGAUUGAUGCUAAUUAUUCUGUGCAUUUUCCUGAUGGAAGCUGCAUUUUAUUUACCUUUCCGUAUUGUGAAUGCUUUGUAGAUUGACAUUAUUGAAGCAAAGACCAUGUUUAAAGAAAUGCUACAGAUGGUCACACGUGAGUAGGCGUCCUGAUUAGGAAUCACAUAACUAAUUAGCCUUGGUACCCCAACCCAAUAUAUUCCGUUAAUCAGUUGUUAACAUGGAUACACCGAGCCAAAUUAUUUAUGCUAGAUCGGUUUGUGUAUUUUCUUAUGAUAGUUAGAUUCAAGCUUUGCCUGUUGUACUUUGGAUAAAAUGUGAUGUUGUCCUGUUGAGAUUAAAUAUCCAAACUACCCAUGUACAAAACUGUUAACAUGGGUAUAUUUUAGCUCGGACUAAGAACAACUAUAUGUGGUUAGCACUGGUCUGUAUACUCAGUUACAAAAUUGUACAUAUGUUCCAAUAACAGUUUAUGAAACUGGAGUUGAUGGUAUUAUACUUUAUUUUCUGAACAUAUGGAACUUUUAAUUAAGGAAUACAUCUGAGGAGUCUUGGCAAUGGAUUUGGCCUAAACAAGUUAAACAAUGAAUAUUUCUGAUCCAUAGUGUAGAAACCUCCUUUGUUUGCUUUGCAUAGAUAUUGAUCAAUGCAUACUUAGAAUAUUUUGUGAGGUAUCCUGAUUUGCAUCUCACGGGCUGCUAGAGCUGUUCAAGCGGUUGUGUGCGUUCUACUUUCGGUAAAUUUGCUAUCUAUAUAUUUUGUACUUCAUUUAGUUUGAAUAGGUAUCAUAACAAGGCUAGGUUCAGUAACUAUUUAUUUGCCUUUUUACUUAAUGCCCUGGUGCUCACGGUUUAAUUGCUAUAGUUGCUGGAGCCGUUGGCCAUUUAUACAUAAUAGUGUAUACAUUUAUAAUGUCGAUCCUUGCUCAUGGUACACCUUUCUUGGUUUUCUGGUGUCAAGAAUUAGCAUAUUAACCAUGAGAGUAGGCCUUGCAUUGACCUCACUAUUGACAACAGAUCCGACUAAAAUCACCAACCUGAUCUUAACGGUUAUACUAUGGGUUUGCCUUAGUUGACCAUCUAUUGUUCCUCAUGCAAUUAAAAAAACUCUUGCAACUGUAGUUUUAUUGCUAACUAAAGGGAUUCAGUUGACUGUGAGAGCAGAGCAUAACAGCAAGAGGGGAACUCACUCCUCAACACGGCGACUUGCGCGGGCGUGAGCUUCGUCCCGAACCUGCUGAUGGCGUUCUUGUAGCUGUAGACCAGAGUCGCCUCAGCCUUCUCUUUGCUUGGAAAAGAACCCAUCGUAGACUUCACCCAGCCUUCUUGUAGCUGUAGACCAUCAUGUCAUGUAAUUACUUGUAGAACAACUAUAUUGUUUUAUUGAGAUUGUAAAGUGGAAACGGUAGAACUCUACAACUUCUCUGUUAGUGUCGUUUGAUUAUUUACUUUCUCAAGUAGUCUGGAUAUAGUGUCAUCGAGGUAUUAAGUAUAUGCACAAAGAUAUGCAAAUUUUAAAAAUGGCUAUGGUAUCCCACAUUUGUCAAAUCCUCAUAUGUUGUUGGUUGUUGGUAGUCAUGCUUAUGUGCAUAUACACUUUAUUAAAUAUAUACAUGUCGUACACACCUAGAAAGCUUUUCUGAACAGACUAGGCUUUUAGUACCCCGUUUUCUUUGCAAUCAUUUGGGUUUCUUCUUGCUUUCAUUUUUGCCUCUCUUCUCUGCUGCAGCUCCGCUGGUUCUUUGUUGUUGCCGCACUUUGGGUUGACUUGCCAUGGAACCAUUUGGCUGACGUGUCUCCAUCACCAUUAUUUGCUAUGUUUUGGAUUUACCCGCUCCCUGACUGCUGCAUUUUGCCUCCUGUAGGCCUCUGCUUUUUUCGUCAUCUUCCAUCGGUCCAAGCUGCUAUUGUUCGCUCCGUCGGCUUGCAGUUGCUUCUGGAGCGUGCUUCAGAUUCAUUGUGCCUCCUUCCAAUGUAAGUUCUCUUUGCUUCCACUGGCUUUGCAUAUGCAUGUGUGAUAUUUUAAUUUAUAGAGUCCAAACGAGAACAGAGGAGAAGUGUGAAAUAGAUAGAGUUUGUGCUGAGAAGUUCAUGGCCAAUUCAUGCAGUAUUGGCCAUGGCUACAUGUUUGUUAGUCAUUUGGCUGGGUCAAUCUUAUGUAGGGAUUUUUUUUCGUGAAUGAAGGAUAUGGUAAUAAGAAAUAGUAAGUGUAGUUCUGGCAUAUGUACCUGCACAUUUCUUAAGAAUCAAUCGUAGUUGUUCUUCAAUAAAGCAUUCAUGGAAUUUCAUUUCCAGUUUCAAGUAUUAAAGGAAAUGGUGGGUUAAAGAAAUAAGAUUUUGCUUUUGUGGCAUGCAAAUUUAAAGAAAUAGGUGAUAAUGUUGAAUUACUUCCUUUCAUACUUGGAUCUCGCUAGAUUAUUUAUGUUCCAUUGGAUUAAGCAUGAGAUUAUCUUUUGAUAGUUUUUUUGCACUUGCUCGACUAACAAAGCUUGCACCUAGGAGCAGGUCUGGUCCAUGCUUUAAGGAGGUUAAGUUUCAGUAGUCCAGAGAGUAAUUGCUAACAUUGUUGAAUUUGACCACCAUCAGAUAAAUGUUUGUGCUGAAGUGGUAGCCAAGACAAACGCAGUAAUCGAAUCAAGAAAUUAGAUGAUAGGACCGAAGAUUGGGGACAAAAUAACUCAAACCAACAGACCAACCAUGAGGGUUCUAUAUAUACGACAAACGAGUAGUUGACAAAAUGAGGUGAGAUGACAGGUAAAUCAGAACUAAUGGAGAAUAAUGCAUAAAAAUGUAACUUGGGAAUAAUGAAAUGAUGAAGAUAUAUUAUCUUGGAAUCUCAAAGACAUUUACAAUUGCUGCAUGCAGAAAAGUUCAUUUCAUAACAGUAUGAAUAAUGUCAAACAUUUGUUGCCAUCAUUAAUCAGAUAAAAAAAUUAUACCUCCAGGACGGGAUAAAACCGGGACAAUAUCUAUGUUGAUUCUUCCCCUAUUCGCCCUUUUCUGAUACCACGUUUUUUCUGAAAAUUGUAGAAUUGAGUGAAUAACUUGUACUGUAAUAUAAGUAUUUAAAGGCUAUAUGUUUGGAAGAACUAAUACACAUGUAAAAUAACGCAACGGGUUACUCUACGUAUUUCAAAUUUCAUGAGAACAUAGGCAACACAUAUUAUUCACUGCGAUCAUAUCAUCGCCAGAUAAUCUGGCCAACUGGGAAAAAGAUCUCUUACUGAAUUAGUUAUAAAACAACAAAUUAACAACUGACUGAUUGUAGAACUGAAGCAACAAGCCUCUAAUGCAGAAAUUCUUAGAAAUAGUGUAUUGUACAUUAUUGCCAGUUUUUAUAUUCAAUUGUCAUAUCUGAAUGUAGUAUGCUUAAAAUUUUGCAUAUGCUACCUGAUUAGUUAGUGUAGACAUGAGAGGCCUGCACUUCUUGUUCCAUUUUAGCUCUUGAGAAUCACAUGAGACUGAACUCCUCUUCAAUAAUAACUUCUCGAACAUCCUUUUUUAUGAAGGAAUACAUCAUCUUCGAGAAGAUAUUGUACCAUGUUAACUCUUAGAUUCACUCACAACCAGAAGCAACAAUCUAGAGCAGAAUAAUACUUAGUUAAAUCAGCUUAUCUAACAAAGCCCAAUAACAGAACAACUUAUGAAGUGACUUGAAAGGGAACAUUCAUGGUGAUUUCUCAGUGAGGGACACAUUGUGAAGCUGUCCACAAUAUGUGCGAUUGCUAUUAGUGCCAAAGGUUAUGUUGGUUGAUGAGCUUGAAAUUAUGCUCCAUAGAAAAGGGUUG